GGAAGCCAAUGGUGGAGCUUAAAGAGUCUAGAAGGCGAUGUGGGCCAUCCGUUCUCUAAGAAAUUGGAGCCGAAGUCCUGCUGAUGAGGAAAACAGCUGUGGACUUCUCAGUGCCUUUCCAGUACCGGCUGGUAUGAAGACUCAGCCUAACACCUUUGCAAAGUGGCAUUUGAGCGAUUUAUAAUGAAGACACACCUAAGACAUGCAGAGUCCUCUAACAGAGACUGCCCUUCUGAUUCAUCAUUGCAGUGUAUCACAGCCAAGCCCUACACCUUACUCAGAAUAAUAUUCCUGAUCAGGGCAGAGCAGACACUUAACGCCAAAGAAGCAGAUCCUGGUGACAGGCCACCGUCCUCAGCAGGCUGGGAAGCAAGAAGAUCUCGGACAUGAACUAACCUGUCCUCAUCGUGGAAGGAAAGGGGCAGCCUCCCAACAGUCCCAGGCUUCUAUUUCCUCUAUUGCAAAAUGGCCCCAGUGUGGGAACGUGGCUGGUAAUCUCCGCAGGCACAGAGAACACAAGACCCUGUCUGACGAACAGUGCUGCUAGCCUGCCAGUCACGUGCAGCGGGGUAUACUUUGUCUUGGGAUCUCCAUUUUCCUCCCGACGCUGACAGUUGUUUCUGAUUUUCCUGUUCACUUCAAAUGGCUCCCCACCCCUGCUCCCCACAAACUUCUGUUCUUCCCUUCUUUACUUGCAGUGGUUCCUAAGUCAUGUCUCAACCAUUUAUACCUUAAUAAGAAGUUCAGCCAGUGUUUGAUUCCCCGUGGAUAUUACAUUAUAUAUUGUAUGCAUGUGUAUACACAGCAUAGAUUCCAUACACAUAGUACAUACAAACCUAUAUAUAAAAUAAGAGUAGUUCCUCAGUAUGGGAAAAAGGCUUUGUGCCUCAUUAGAGAAUUGCUUAGCUUGGCUUCCUUCUUACAUAUCAGUGUCCUUUUUCUGUCAUAAAAUAAACCAUAAUAUUUUAUGAUUUAUAAUAAAAUAGAUAAUAGACAAAUAGACAAAUUUGGGAACAAGUUUUAAAUAAAAAGUAAUAGAAUUUCUUUUACUCUUUAGAGGGAUAGAAGAAUACUAUCCCUCAGAAUUGACUACCUUAAAUAUUUUGGGGUAUUUUUCUAUCUCUUCUCACUUUUAAAAUUGUAAAAUAUUUGUACCUUUAAAAAAAAAGUAUAGAGGGGCGCCUG